AUUGAACGCUGGCGGCAGGCCUAACACAUGCAAGUCGAGCGAGCGGCGGACGGGUGAGUAAUGUAUGGGGACUGCCCGAUAGAGGGGGAUAACUACUGGAAACGGUGGCUAAUACCGCAUACUAUCGUUUCACCCAUAUGGGAUUAGCUAGUAGGUGGGGUAAAGGCUCACAUAGGCGACGAUCUCUAGCUGGUCUGAGAGGAUGAUCGGACACAUUGGGAAUGAGACACGGCCCAGACUCCUACGGAGGCAGCAUUGGGGAAUAUUGCACAAUGGGCGCAAGCCUGAUGCAGCCAUGCCGCGUGUAUGAAGAAGGCCUUAGGGUUGUAAAGUACUUUCAGCGGGGAGGCGUUACCCGCAGAAGAAGCACCGGCUAACUCCGUGCCAGCAGCCGCGGUAAUUC
rnacentral:rRNA from 1 species